rnacentral:rRNA from 1 species
CCUACGGGGGGCUGCAGUGGGGAAUAUUGGACAAUGGGGGGAACCCUGAUCCAGCCAUGCCGCGUGUGUGAAGAAGGCCCUCGGGUUGUAAAGCACUUUCAGUGAGGAAGAACGCCUGGUGGUUAAUACCCAUCAGGAAAGACAUCACUCACAGAAGAAGCACCGGCUAACUCCGUGCCAGCAGCCGCGGUAAUACGGAGGGUGCGAGCGUUAAUCGGAAUUACUGGGCGUAAAGCGCGCGUAGGUGGCUUGAUAAGCCGGUUGUGAAAGCCCCGGGCUCAACCUGGGAACGGCAUCCGGAACUGUCAGGCUGGAGUGCAGGAGAGGAAGGUAGAAUUGCCGGUGUAGCGGUGAAAUGCGUAGAGAUCGGGAGGAAUACCAGUGGCGAAGGCGGCCUUCUGGACUGACACUGACACUGAGGUGCGAAAGCGUGGGUAGCAAACAGGAUUAGAUACCCUUGUAGUC